CAGGCCUAACACAUGCAAGUCGAGCGAGAAAGCCCUUCGGGGUGAGUACAGCGGCGGACGGGUGAGUAACGCGUAGGAAUCUACCUAGUAGUGGGGGACAACUCGUGGAAACGCGAGCUAAUACCGCAUACGCCCUACGGGGGAAAGCGGGGGAUCUUCGGACCUCGUGCUAUUAGAUGAGCCUGCGUAAGAUUAGCUAGUUGGUGGGGUAAUGGCCUACCAAGGCGACGAUCUUUAGCUGGUCUGAGAGGAUGAUCAGCCACACCGGGACUGAGACACGGCCCGGACUCCUACGGGAGGCAGCAGUCGGGAAUAUUGCGCAAUGGGCGAAAGCCUGACGCAGCCAUGCCGCGUGUGUGAAGAAGGCCCUAGGGUUGUAAAGCACUUUCAAUUGGGAGGAAAAGCUAAUGGUUAAUAGCCAUUAGCCCUGACGUUACCUUUAGAAGAAGCACCGGCUAACUUCGUGCCAGCAGCCGCGGUAAUACGGAGGGUGCAAGCGUUAAUCGGAAUUACUGGGCGUAAAGCGCGCGUAGGCGGUUUUUUAAGUCGGAUGUGAAAGCCCCGGGCUCAACCUGGGAAUUGCAUCCGAUACUGGAUAACUAGAAUGCGGGAGAGGGAGGUAGAAUUCCAUGUGUAGCAGUGAAAUGCGUAGAUAUAUGGAGGAAUACCAGUGGCGAAGGCGGCCUCCUGGCUCGACAUUGACGCUGAGGUGCGAAAGCGUGGGGAGCAAACGGGAUUAGAUACCCCGGU
rnacentral:rRNA from 1 species